rnacentral:rRNA from 1 species
UGUUUCGGCUAGGGGGUCAUCCCGACUUACCAACCCGAUGCAAACUGCGAAUACCGAAGAAUGUUAUCACGGGAGACACACGGCGGGUGCUAACGUCCGUCGUGAAGAGGGAAACAACCCAGACCGCCAGCUAAGGUCCCAAAGUCAUGGUUAAGUGGGAAACGAUGUGGGAAGGCACAGACAGCCAGGAUGUUGGCUUAGAAGCAGCCAUCAUUUAAAGAAAGCGUAAUAGCUCACUGGUCGAGUCGGCCUGCGCGGAAGAUGUAACGGGGCUAAACCAUGCACCGAAGCUGCGGCAGCGACACUAUGUGUUGUUGGGUAGGGGAGCGUUCUGUAAGCCGUUGAAGGUGUAUCGUGAGGUAUGCUGGAGGUAUCAGAAGUGCGAAUGCUGACAUAAGUAACGAUAAUGCGGGUGAAAAACCCGCACGCCGGAAGACCAAGGGUUCCUGUCCAACGUUAAUCGGGGCAGGGUGAGUCGACCCCUAAGGCGAGGCCGAAAGGCGUAGUCGAUGGGAAACAGGUUAAUAUUCCUGUACUUGGUGUUACUGCGAAGGGGGGACGGAGAAGGCUAUGUUAGCCGGGCGACGGUUGUCCCGGUUUAAGCAUGUAGGCGGAGGUUCCAGGUAAAUCCGGUACCUUUUUAACGCUGAGGUGUGAUGACGAGGCACUACGGUGCUGAAGUAACAAAUGCCCUGCUUCCAGGAAAAGCCUC